rnacentral:tRNA from 1 species
AAAGGAAGGAAUCGAAC